CAGGAAUUGAACCCAAGUCUCCAGUGCUAUCCCAGUUUGGAGAAGGCCAAUUAAAAAAGUUGGGACUCCAGAUGUCAUACGUAGCAGGUUACUGAUUUACCUUCAUCACAUGAAAUCACCAGCAAAUCAGCCUCAACAUAGAGGAACAAACUAUGCAUCACUGUGUAGCUUGUAACAUUUCAGAAGAAAUUGAAAUGGCUGUUUGGGUCCAGCUCUGGCAGCUCCUUUCAGGAUUCUGAGCACCUAACUCAAUCUCCAAAAAGUCCCAUAACAUUCCUAAAUGUUUGCUGCUUUGCACUAUAUUUGAAAGCCUUUCUUGGGCCCUGUAGGUUUAUUCAUGCUGGUGCAGACUCUUUGCUUUAUAAACUGCAUUCCCAUAAGAGCUUCAGAUAUCAUACAUUGCUUGUAUGCCACGGCCUUUUUGCUUUGUAAAGAUUAGUUAAGAUCACUUUAUUAGCCAUAUACAAUGUCUUGUAUUAGGAAAACAAGGUUAAAUAUGUUAUUUAUGUGCAAAAAUGUAUUAUACUGUAUGUCUGUGGACAUAAUAAUGGGAGGUAAUCUGUGUACAAUUAAUCUGCCUGAAUGGUUGUUAUGCUACAUGUUAUGUGAAUUAAAAUGUAACUUUGAUGGCAACA